GGCCGUAGCUCAGAGGCAGAGUGCUUGCCUAGCAUGCGUGAGGCACUGGGUUCAAUCCUCAGCACCA
rnacentral:tRNA from 1 species